rnacentral:rRNA from 1 species
UUUGCAUGGCGAGCUGUGUAUUUAGCCUUUAACAUCACCCCACCUCGUGGUAUUUCACAUAUUUUUGGGACUUGGCUACAGGGGUUAAAAAAUCUUUAAGGCUUCUUAUUCUAGUCGGGGUAGCAGCUGUCUUUUCGGUCUAUCUGGCUUUGCAUAAAUGAUGUCAUAUUUUACAAGAUAAAAGUUUGUUCUUGUGCUACGCUUGUGUACCAAACUACCAAUUGGCUGCGGUUAUGGGCACUAUUACAGAAGGCGUGGUACAAGGAGCUGAUAGAGCCAGACGCGAAUAAACUUGAGUGGAUCACCAGGGUGUUUAUGAUCCGCUUUGGGCGGCAUAUGCCAAUGAUAGACUUUUGA